AACACAGUUUAAUGUGUUCUAAAAAUGGUGAGAGUGAAGAAGAUGGUCCCAAUAUGUUAGACUGUGUUAUUGUGCAGCUCAAAUGUUAACAUUUUCUAUGCAUACAUUACUUUCUUUUAAAAACUCAUGAGAUUGCAUGAAUUAGCUUUAUAAUCACCCUUUUUUUUCUCUUUCUCAGAGGUAACACACCUGAAACGAGAGGAACAGCUUACGUUGUAUACGAAGACAUCUUCGACGCCAAGAACGCCUGUGACCACCUGUCAGGCUUCAACGUCUGCAAUCGUUACCUGGUGGUUCUUUACUACAACGCUAACAGAGCUUUCCAGAAAAUGGACACAAAGAAAAAAGAAGAGCAGCUGAAGCUUUUGAAGGAGAAAUAUGGCAUCAACACAGACCCUCCCAAGUAGCUUCCACUUUGAUCUACAUCACCUUUGGUUUUUUCAUUUGUUAAAACUUUUCAUGUUGUUUGAUUUAUGCUUUUCAUAAUUUACCCAUUUGUUUGUUUGUUAAUACUACCCUGAUUUACAGUUUGAGGUCUUUAUAUUUUAGUUUUGUUCUGGUAAGAUGGCAGACAGGACAUGCUGACAGUGGCCGUCUUCACUCUGGCCAAUAUGGUUGUUUUUGUUUUGUAAUUUUUUGUUUUCAUAAACCUAAAUUUAAACUUAACCAUGCUUUACAGUGUUGAGAUGGGAAGCUGAAAUUGAUGUGUGCCCCCCCAUUUAAAGUAUAUAAUUUCUGUAAAAUAAAUGCUUUUUUU